rnacentral:rRNA from 1 species
GGGGGGCGCGGGGGGGGGGCGUGACACGGGCAAGUCGAGCGGGGGGGCCCCGGCGUGGGGGGGUGCGCGGGGGGCGGACGGGUGAGUAACACGUGGGUGCCCUGCCCUUCACUUCGGUAGAGGCCUGGGACACUGGGUCUAAUACCGGAGAGGCCUAGUGCGUGUGUACGGUGGUGGACAGGCUGUUCGGUGUGGGGUGGGCCCGCGGCCUAUCAGCUUCGUGGGUGGGGCAGGGCCUACGAAGGCGGCGCCGGGUAGCCGGCCUGGGAGGGUGGACGGCGACAUGGGGACUGAGGCACGGCCCAGACUGUUACGGGAGGCAGCAGGGGGGAAUAUUGCACAAUGGGGGGAAGCCUGUUGCAGCGGCGCCGGGUGGGGGAUGACGGCCUUCGGGUGGUAAACUCCUUUCACCAUCGACGAAGGGGUUCUGACGGUAGAUGGAGAAGAAGCACCGGCUAACUACGUG